CGGGAUAUAGCGCAGCUUGGUAGCGCACCUGCUUUGGGAGCAGGGGGCCGCAGGUUCAAAUCCUGCUAUCCCGA
rnacentral:tRNA from 1 species